rnacentral:rRNA from 1 species
GAGUUUGAUCCUGGCUCAGAGCGAACGCUGGCGGCAGGCUUAACACAUGCAAGUCGAGCGGGCGUACGAAUACGUCAGCGGCAGACGGGUGAGUAACGCGUGGGAACGUACCUUUUGGUUCGGAACAACACAGGGAAACUUGUGCUAAUACCGGAUAAGCCCUUACGGGGAAAGAUUUAUCGCCGAAAGAUCCGGCCCGCGUCUGAUUAGCUAGUUGGUGAGGUAAUGGCUCACCAAGGCGACGAUCAGUAGCUGGUCUGAGAGGAUGAUCAGCCACAUUGGGACUGAGACACGGCCCAAACUCCUACGGGAGGCAGCAGUGGGGAAUAUUGGACAAUGGGGGCAACCCUGAUCCAGCCAUGCCGCGUGAGUGAUGAAGGCCCUAGGGUUGUAAAGCUCUUUUGUGCGGGAAGAUAAUGACGGUACCGCAAGAAUAAGCCCCGGCUAACUUCGUGCCAGCAGCCGCGGUAAUACGAAGGGGGCUAGCGUUGCUCGGAAUCACUGGGCGUAAAGGGUGCGUAGGCGGGUCUUUAAGUCAGGGGUGAAAUCCUGGAGCUCAACUCCAAACUGCCUUUGAAUCUGAAGAUCUUGAUGUUCGGGAGAGGUGAGUGACUGCGGUGUAGAGGUGAAAUUCGUAGAUUUUCGCAAGAACACCAGUGGCGAAGGCGGCUCACUGGCCCGAUACUGACGCUGAGGCACGAAAGCGUGGGGAGCAAACAGGAUAGAUACCCUGGUAGUCCACGCCGUAAACGAUGAAUGCCAGCCGGUUAGGUGGUUACUCCACAUGUGCGCACGUAACGCAUUAAGCAUUCCGCCUGGGAGAUCGGUCGCAAGAUUAAACUCAAAGGAAUUGACGGGGGCCCGCACAAGCGGUGAGCAUGUGGUUAAUUCGACGCAACGCGCAGAACCUUACCAGCCCUUGACAUGUCCAGGACCGGUCGCAGAGAUGUGACCCUCUCUUCGGAGCCUGGAACACAGGUGCUGCAUGGCUGUCGUCAGCUCGUGUCGUGAGAUGUUGGGUUAAGUCCCGCAACGAGCGCAACCCCCGUCCUUAGUUGCUACCAUUUAGUUGAGCACUCUAAGGAGACUGCCGGUGAUAAGCCGCGAGGAAGGUGGGGAUGACGUCAAGUCCUCAUGCGUUACGGGCUGGGCUACACACGUGCUACAAUGGCGGUGACAAUGGGAUGCUAAGGGGCGACCCUUCGCAAAUCUCAAAAAGCCGUCUCAUGUGUCGGAUUGGGCUCUGCAACUCGAGCCCAUGAAGUUGGAAUCGCUAGUAAUCGUGGAUCAGCACGCCACGGUGAAUACGUUCCCGGGCCUUGUACACACCGCCCGUCACACCAUGGGAGUUGGUUUUACCUGAAGACGGUGCGCUAACCCGCAAG